rnacentral:rRNA from 1 species
UACGGAGGGUGCAAGCGUUGCUCGGAAUUACUGGGCGUAAAGCGUGCGCAGGCGGCGCCGCAAGUCAGGCGUGAAAUCCCCGAGCUUAACUUGGGAAUGGCGCUUGAAACUACGGUGCUGGAGUGUGGCAGAGGGAGGUGGAAUUCCACGUGUAGCGGUGAAAUGCGUAGAGAUGUGGAGGAACACCGAUGGCGAAGGCAGCCUCCUGGGCCAACACUGACGCUCAUGCACGAAAGCGUGGGGAGCAAACAGG